GGCUGCCUGAUGCAGCCAUGCCGCGUGUGUGAAGAAGGCCUUCGGGUUGUAAAGCACUUUUGGUGGGGAGGAAGGUGGGGAAGUUAAUACCUUGGUGUCCUGACGUUACCCACAGAAUAAGCACCGGCUAACUCUGUGCCCGCAGCCCCGGUACUAG
rnacentral:rRNA from 1 species